rnacentral:rRNA from 1 species
AACGAACGCUGGCGGCAGGCUUAACACAUGCAAGUCGAACGCAUCCUUCGGGGUGAGUGGCAGACGGGUGAGUAACGCGUGGGAAUCUACCCUGAUCUGCGGGAUAGCUCCGGGAAAAUGGAAUUAAUACCGCAUAUGUCCUGAGGGACAAAGAUUCAUCGGUUCAGGAUGAGCCCGCGUCCGAUUAGCUAGUUGGUGGGGUAAAGGCCUACCAAGGCGACGAUCGGUAGCUGGUCUAAGAGGAUGAUCAGCCACAUUGGGACUGAGACACGGCCCAAACUCCUACGGGAGGCAGCAGUGGGGAAUAUUGGACAAUGGGCGCAAGCCUGAUCCAGCCAUGCCGCGUGAGUGAUGAAGGUCUUAGGAUUGUAAAGCUCUUUCACCGGGGACGAUAAUGACGGUACCCGGAGAAGAAGCCCCGGCUAACUACGUGCCAGCAGCCGCGGUAA